AAGAAGGGCGCAUGGUGGAUGCCUAGGCUCUUGGAGGCUAUGAAGGACGUGGUAAGCUGCGAAAAGCUAAGGGGAGCUGCAAACGAGUGUUGAUCCUUAGAUGUCCGAAUGGGGCAACCCAUCUUGUUGAAGACAAGAUAAUCGAAAGAUAGCGAACGUGGGGAACUGAAACAUCUAAGUACCCAUAGGAGGAGAAAACAAUAGUGAUUUCGUAAGUAGUGGCGAGCGAACGCGAAGAAGCCCAAACCCGAAAGGGGGUUGUAGGACCGACGUAAUUGUGUAUACAUAAAAGAGGAACCGUUAUGGAAAUGCGGGACAGAGAGGGUGAUAUCCCCGUACUCGGAGAGUGUAUAUAUGAGGUUGGAAUCCUGAGUAGCACGGGACUGGAGAAAUCCUGUGUGAAUUUGCCGGCACCAUCCGGUAAGGCUAAAUACUCCCAAGAGACCGAUAGUGAACCAGUACCGUGAGGGAAAGGUGAAAAGGACCCCGUAGAGGGGAGUGAAAAGAACCUGAAACCAUGCGCUUACAAGCGGUCGGAGUCACGCCUAUGGCGUGAUGACGGCGUGCCUUUUGCAUAAUGAGCCUACGAGUUACGUUUUACUAGCGAGUUUAAUACAUUAAGUGUAGGAGGCGAAGCGAAAGCGAGUUUUAACAGAGCGCUAUAGCUAGUAGAAGUAGACGCGAAACCAAGUGAUCUACCCAUGAGCAGGUUGAAGUCUCGAUAGUCUCGAGAUGGAGGACCGAACCAGUAAACGUUGAAAAGUUUUUGGAUGACUUGUGGGUAGGGGUGAAAGGCUAAUCAAACUUGGAGAUAGCUCGUACUCCCCGAAAUGCAUUUAGGUGCAGCGUCAGGGAAUAUGUUUCGGAGGUAGAGCUACCAAUAGGGCUAGGGGGCUUCACCGCCUACCAACCCCUGAUGAACUCCGAAUGCCGAGACAUAGUACUGGCAGUGAGGCUAUGGGUGCUAAGGUCCAUAGCCGAGAGGGGAACAACCCAGACCAACAGCUAAGGUCCCUAAGUAUUAACUAAGUUGGAUUGAACGAGGUGAGGAUGCACAGACAGCUAGGAUGUUUGCUUGGAAGCAGCAAUUCAUUUAAAGAGUGCGUAACAGCUCACUAGUCGAGCGUUCUUGCGCGGAAAAUAAUCGGGCAUCAAGUUAGUCACCGAAGCUUUGGAUUUGAUAUUUAUAUUAAGUGGUAGGGGAGCAUUCUAAUUGGGUCGAAGUAAUACUGUGAGGUAUUGUGGACUAAUUAGAAGAGCAAAUGUAGGCAUGAGUAACGAUAAGACGGGUGAGAUACCCGUCCGCCGUAAGACUAAGGGUUCCUGAUCUAUGCUAAUCAGAUCAGGGUUAGUCGGGACCUAAGGCGUAUCCGAGAGGAGAAGUCGAUGGCAAACCGGUUAAUAUUCCGGUACCUGUAUAUACUGCGAAGCAGUGACGGAGGAGCGAAAGGUACGCCCCGAGACGGAAUUCGGGGUUGAAGUGAGUAGGUGAUGAUCACAGUAGUUAAGUACGCUGUGAGAGCUGAUGCACGAUAGUACACUAAGACUACGGUCGAGGUGAUAGUUACUGGUAGCAUACUUCCAAGAAAACCUGCUAAGCAUCAGGUAUAUUACAGCCCGUACUGUAAACCGACACAGGUAGUCGAGGAGAGUAUCCUCAGGCGCUCGAGUGAUUCGUGGCUAAGGAACUAGGCAAAAUGGUCUCGUAACUUCGGGAGAAGGGACGCCCCCAAGCGAUUGGGGGCCGCAGUGAAGAGGCCCAGGCGACUGUUUAUCAAAAACACAGGACUCUGCAAAAUCGAAAGAUGAAGUAUAGGGUCUGACACCUGCCCGGUGCCGGAAGGUUAAGGAAGGGGGUUAGUGCGUAAGUGCGAAGCUCUUAACUGAAGCCCCGGUAAACGGCGGCCGUAACUAUAACGGUCCUAAGGUAGCGAAAUUCCUUGUCGGGUAAGUUCCGACCUGCACGAAUGGUGUAACGAUCUGGGCACUGUCUCAGCCACGAGCUCGGUGAAAUUGAAGUAUCGGUGAAGAUGCCGAUUACCCGCAACGGGACGAAAAGACCCCGUGAACCUUUACUAUAGCUUUACAUUGGGUUUGGAUACACGAUGUGUAGGAUAGGUGGGAGACUAUGAAGCUGUCGCGCCAGUGGCGGUGGAGUCGUCCUUGAAAUACCACCCUUUGUGUAUUUAGAUUCUAAUCUCAUUGAAGAUGGGAGACAUUGUAUGGUGGGUAGUUUGACUGGGGUGGUCGCCUCCAAAAGAGUAUCGGAGGCUUUC
rnacentral:rRNA from 1 species